CCACUGUCUGGCACUCCCUAGAGAGAUGAACCCGGUACCUCAGAUGGAAAUGCAGAAAUCACCCGUCUUCUGCGUCGCUCACGCUGGGAGCUGUAGACGGGAGCUGUUCCUAUUCGGCCAUCUUGGCUCCUCCCUACAAGGGAAUCUUUCCUUUUGUUUGCUUUUGCAAAAAUCAGUUGGCUUGGCAGGAAGGGGCACAGUGUGCAGCUAUUUCCUGUGGUGUUCUUCAAAGCAGCUGAGGUCCUUAUGGUUCCAGCAAGCAGCCCCCUGCAAGUUUCUUCUUCCCCGCAGUGGUGAAUAGCGUGUUCCUGCAGGAGUCACGCCUUCCCAUCAGAGCAUUGAUCACAGACCUUACAGGACCUCCUCCAGAUUUCCAAGUUCCUUCCUUGUUCUUCUCUCAGCCCUACAGGUGUUCUCUGCAGUUGUUCCCUCUUCUACACCUUUUAAAAGUUAUCUACCUUGUGCAUAGUUAACAACUCCUUCUAUCAAAUGUUCUCUAUUGAAGUCACUCCACUGGUUUCUGCCUCUCCACUAGAUCUUGACUAGGCUCCCUAUUUUAUUCUCCCCAAAAUACACUCUUUAUUUUAUUCUCCAGAGAGUAGCCAGAGUGACUUAUUUUUUCAUUUGGGUCCCACUGAUUAAGAGAAUGAAAAAUAGGCUCUAAGAUGCAUGAAUCUCCAUUCCCUGCUGAUACAUUUCUGUGGUUUCCCAAUGCACUUGGAAUAAAAGCUAAACUCUAUCUUAGCCUCAAGACCUCUAUCCAACUUCCCAAAUUUAUCUGACUUUCUUGUCCUAUCUCACAGUACUCCGACACUGUGCUAGAUGUGAUGGUUUCCUGCUGGGAUGGUUGGUUUAAUGUGUCAACUUGGCUAGGUCAUAGUACCCAGUUAUUUAAUCAAACACUAACAUGGAUCUAGCUGUGAAAGUAUUGUGUAGAUGUGGUUAGCAUCUACAAUCAGUUGACUUUAGGUAGAAGGAGAUUACCCUCAAUUAUGUGUGUGGGCCUUAGCCAAUCAGUUCGAAAGCCUUAAACGCAACAAAACUGAGGUUUCCUGGGCGAGGAAAUUCUGCCUUAAGACUACAGCAAUAGCCGGGAACAGUGGCUCACGCCUGUAAUC
rnacentral:lncRNA from 1 species